rnacentral:rRNA from 1 species
AUGAACGCUGGCGGCGCAUUUAAGACAUGCAAGUCGAACGAAAAUACUCAACUAAAAUUGAAUGAGGAUUUAUCCAAGUGAAGUUUUGCCCGAGUAUUUUAGUGGCGGACGGGUGAGUAAUACGUAGAUAACCUGCCUUAUAGACAGAAAUAACUAUUAGAAAUGAUAGCUAAUGUCUGAUAAGACCACGCUUAGGCAUCUAAGAGCGGUCAAAGGGGUAACCCGCUAUAAGAUGGAUCUACGGCUGAUUAGUUAGUUGGUGAGAUAACAGCCCACCAAGACGAUGAUCAGUAGCCGAGCUGAGAGGCUGGCCGGCCACAUUGGGACUGAGACACGGCCCAGACUCCUACGGGAGGCAGCAGUUGGGAAUAUUGGACAAUGGAGGAAACUCUGAUCCAGUGACGCCGCGUGAAGGAAGAAGGUCUUCGGAUUGUAAACUUAUUUUAUCAGGGAAGAAACAAAUGACUGUACCUGAAGAAGAAGGACCGGCAAACUACGUGCCAGCAGCCGCGGUAAUACGUAGGGUCCGAGCGUUAUCCGGAUUUACUGGGUAUAAAGGGCGAGUAGACGGUUUAGCAAGUCAGAUGUGAAAACUUGGAGCUCAACUCCAAGCCUGCAUCUGAAACUGUUAGACUAGAGUGCAGGAGAGGUAAGCGGAAUUCCUAGUGUAGCGGUGAAAUGCGUAGAUAUUAGGAGGAACACCAGUGGCGAAGGCGGCUUACUGGACUGUAACUGACGUUGAGGAGCGAAAGUGUGGGGAGCAAACAGGAUUAGAUACCCUGGUAGUCCACACUGUAAACGAUGGAUACUAGGUGUAGGCAUGCAAAUGUCUGUGCCGGCGCAAAUGCAAUAAGUAUCCCACCUGGGGAGUACGGCCGCAAGGUUGAAACUCAAAGGAAUUGACGGGGGCCCGCACAAGCAGUGGAGUAUGUGGUUUAAUUCGAUGCAACGCGAAGAACCUUACCAAGACUUGACAUAUACAGGAAUAUCUGGGAAAUCAGAUAGUUCUUCGGAACUUGUAUACAGGUGAUGCAUGGUUGUCGUCAGCUCGUGUCGUGAGAUGUUGGGUUAAGUCCCGCAACGAGCGCAACCCUCGUGAUUAGUUGCUGCCAAGCAGAACUCUAAUCAGACUGCCGUAGUUAAUACGGAGGAAGGUGAGGAUGACGUCAAAUCAUCACGUCCCUUAUGUCUUGGGCUACACACGUACUACAAUGGCUACUACAAAGAGAAGCAAUACCGUAAGGUGGAGCAAAACUGCAAAAAGUAGCCCUAGUUCGGAUUGGGGGCUGCAACCCGCCCCCAUGAAGCUGGAAUUGCUAGUAAUCAUAGGUCAGCAUACUAUGGUGAAUACGUUCCCGGGCCUUGUACACACCGCCCGUCAAACCAUGAGAAUUGAAAAUACCCGAAGCCCAUGUUAAAGUGGUCCACGGUAGGUUCAGUGAUUGGGGUU